AAUAUAAGAGAACUUCUUCUGAGUGGGUACAAUCUUUGAAUUUCUUAAUCAGCCUACGUAAUUGAGACCGAUCAACUUGUUAGAAUCUAAAAUUUCUCGCAAUGAUAAUGAAGAUGCCGUUUGUAGAAUUUAAUCUACAAUAAAUAAAGAAUAUUACAUAAGCAAACAACUCAUGAUAACUUACACAAUUAAAUAAGAUCUUUAGAUUUAAUUUUACCUUCUAUUAUUUUAUCGAACAUCAUAACUCUCUACUAUGAUGAAUGAGACAUACUCUAUAUAUAUCUUAGUGGAAUUGAGACCCUAAUUUUUUAUAAUGAUCUUGUGUUAACACAACAAACCCUCAUGAGUUUAUAAGUAGGAAACUCUUUCCAAUUGCAUCUCAUGCAAUUCUCAAUUUUAUCUUAGUUUCUAAAAUAUUAUUAGCCUUGUGGUAACAUAACAAGCUAUAAUAUUUUAGUUAAGUAAAAUCCUUCAUUUUAAUACAGUCAAAUUCGAAUAUAAUUGCCCUUAUGGUAACACAAAAAAGUAGUAUAUCCAAAAUUACCGCAAGCAUCUUUUAUGCAUUAGGAUUAUAUUAUAUCAGACCUUAUGACAAGCCUUGUGGCAACAUAACAAGCUUGCCAUAGUUCAUGAUGUAACAUUAACUUAGCAUGAAGAAAGGCCCCUAAUAGUAUUUUCAAUAUUAGAAUUUUUUAAUUUCAAGAUCGCUUAAUCAAAUUGGCUAGAUAAGUAGAUAGGGGUCCUCCCGUUGCUUUUCUUAGACACCAAUAAAUUGACCAGAUCAGUCAACGGAACUAAUUAAAGAACUACCUUUAGUACUUUUCUAGACACCAAUUGAUCAAUUGAUCAAGAAUUGGUUAACUGAUUGUUGUUUAUCACUAUCACUUAAUAUAAUUUUAUGAGAGCUUCAUUAGUCUCAUGCAUAUUCUAAUUUUAUAAUGCCAAUGCAUACUAAUAUAUAUCAGCAUUAAAUAUUUUAUAUGUGCCGGUGUAACAUAUAGACAUUCAUCAUCCGAGGAUAACCUUGUAGUGUAACCCCGUUAUGCUAGGACUACCUUAUUUCAGAAUGAUGAAGUGGUGGAUCAGAUAUGCAUCAAUUCAUAUCAUCAUAUGAAAGCAUAAUUCAUAGCACUAUUAAUUUUAUAGCAUAAAUCAUAUUAUGCAUCACAUAAACAUUGUGUAUAUAUGAUUGAACCAAACAAGACCAUCUCUGAUACCACUGUAGGAUUUCAAGAAGAACACACACAGCGGAAGCAUAAUGGAUUUCAAAAUUUUAAACUAAGAAAUCUUAAAUAUUAAUCCCUUAAACCAGCACCUCCUUGAUGAUUAAUAAUUAUAUAAAAUAUAUUCAUAACAAAAUUUAAGGUAUAGAAUAAUAUUUGCAAUGCUUAUUCCAAAACUCCGGCAGAACCUCCACCAGGUGCCCAAGUGUUCACCCUCCAACGAUAAUCCACAUAGAAUUUUGAUUAGGACACC
rnacentral:lncRNA from 1 species